rnacentral:rRNA from 1 species
CCCGAGGNACCGCAUANNUGCUCGUCGAUCGAAUGGAUUAAGAGCNUGCUCUUAUGAAGUUAGCGGCGGACGGGUGAGUAACACGUGGGUAACCUGCCCAUAAGACUGGGAUAACUCCGGGAAACCGGGGCUAAUACCGGAUAACAUUUUGAACCGCAUGGUUCGAAAUUGAAAGGCGGCUUCGGCUGUCACUUAUGGAUGGACCCGCGUCGCAUUAGCUAGUUGGUGAGGUAACGGCUCACCAAGGCAACGAUGCGUAGCCGACCUGAGAGGGUGAUCGGCCACACUGGGACUGAGACACGGCCCAGACUCCUACGGGAGGCAGCAGUAGGGAAUCUUCCGCAAUGGACGAAAGUCUGACGGAGCAACGCCGCGUGAGUGAUGAAGGCUUUCGGGUCGUAAAACUCUGUUGUUAGGGAAGAACAAGUGCUAGUUGAAUAAGCUGGCACCUUGACGGUACCUAACCAGAAAGCCACGGCUAACUACGUGCCAGCAGCCGCGGUAAUACGUAGGUGGCAAGCGUUAUCCGGAAUUAUUGGGCGUAAAGCGCGCGCAGGUGGUUUCUUAAGUCUGAUGUGAAAGCCCACGGCUCAACCGUGGAGGGUCAUUGGAAACUGGGAGACUUGAGUGCAGAAGAGGAAAGUGGAAUUCCAUGUGUAGCGGUGAAAUGCGUAAAGAUAUGGAGGAACACCGGUGGCGAAGGCGACUUUCUGGGCUGUGUUUGUCACUGAGGGNNAAAACGUGGGGAGAAAUACGAUUNNCACGAGGGGGCGCA